CAAUAGCGUAUAUUUAAGUUGUUGCAGUUAAAAAGCUCGUAGUUGGAUUUUGGGUCGGGGGCACCGGUCCGCCGUUCCGGUGUGCACUGGUGGCCCCUUCCUUUCUGCCGGGGACGCGCGUCGCACUUAAUUGGGUGGCGUUCGGAGUCGGCGUUGUUACUUUGAAAAAAUUAGAGUGUUCAAAGCAAGCCAUCGCUCUGAAUACAUUAGCAUGGAAUAACAUGAUAGGACUCCGGUCUUAUUUUGUUGGUUUCCGAGACUGGAGUAAUGAUUAAGAGGGACAGUCGGGGGCAUCCGUAUUUCAUUGUCAGAGGCGAAAUUCUUGGAUUUAUGAAAGACGAACUUCUGCGAAAGCAUUUGCCAAGGAUGUUUUCAUUAA
rnacentral:rRNA from 1 species